rnacentral:lncRNA from 1 species
AAGAAGGAACAAGAAUUAAAAAGCAUAGAAAACCAGCCCUACAACUCCCAGCAUCUCUAAUUGGAAGAAGACAUAAAAAUCUCAACCAUUUCCUGGAGUUUCUUAGAAGAUG